AUAACAAAAAAAAACAUCUAACUAUCUCUUCAAAGCAAGUUUUGGACAUACCACACAAUUGCUUAGACUAGGUAGACUUGCUAUGAACAAUAAUCGUUUUUUAGAAAUAUGUUUGAAAUGUGUUGUACAGACCAGCAGAGGGCAAAAGUACCCUUUGAAAGUGUUGCUGCCUCACUCACACAACUUUAUAUUUCCCUCCUCUUCCCUGCCCUUCCUGUUUUGGCUAUGAUGACUGUGAAACCCCAUGAUAUUUUUAAUCAUACAAUAAAAUGCAAAAUCAGAUCAGCUGUUGGGAUGGAGGAGUAAAGGUGACAUGGUGGACUUCACUCCAAAUGGACAAUUUUGCAAAUGUAUCUUGUACAUUUUGAACAUCAGGCUCUUGGCAUAGUUAUUUUGUGGACAGAAGAAGCUAAAGACACUUAAAGAUUUCUACUCCUUCAAGGUGACUCCUGCACCAGCUGCUGCUGGUGGGGGAUCUGCAUUUGUUUGUGCACAAGACUCAAAUGAUGAAAUGCUUCCCGGCUCAUCCAGAAGCAGGACGGGAGGUGGGCAUCCUUCCUGCAGCAUAACAGAAAGUUGUUUUUUGCCAGACAUGGGACUCAAGUCAGUUACUCCGUGUCUUAAGUUGCAAGUCAUUAAAACAGUGAUCUGAGUCCUCCCAAAUCAACAGAGUUGUACGUGUGACAGACAGAGUCCCCCAUAUUGCGUAGGAGGUGAAACGUGGGCUUUGACUGGAGGAGUCUACAAACAAAUGAGUCACCGUGUUGAGACAGUUGAGGAGCACAUCCUUCUGCAGGCCACAUCUGUUGACCUCUUCACUGAGCCAAGCUGGACCAUAAGA